AAAGGAAGCCAGCUUGCUCGAGGUGGGGGGGGGGGCUCCGCGGGAUGAUGGGGGCAGGGGGUGACGGCGGCAAGAGAGAAACUGGCCCCAUGGCGGUCCCUGGCUUGCCGUGACGGAGCGCGGGCGGUGCCGGGGCUCCUGGGCCAGGCCGUCGCGUGACCCUCGCGACAACACAUCAGGAACUGCAAUUGUUCGCACCUUACGGACGGGAGACCCGCGCUGGGAGGCGCAGGGGCUCGUCAGAGGGGCAGGAGAGCAGGGUUCAUCUGCCUGACCGCUGAGCCUAUGGUGCUGGUCGCCAGGGUGGGCACGUGAGAGGCGCUGCUUGCAGAGGGGUCUCUGUCUGGGACCCUUUCUGGGAUUCCUUGUGGUGCCCGGGAUGUGAGCCCCAGAGGGCACGCUGGCACGACGGUCACCCGCCUGCUCCUGGCGGUGGCCAAGGCAUUUAUUUGUGGGCGUCCCGAGAGACGGAGCCGUUUGUGGUACGUGUUUCCCCAGAGUCCGGUUCCCACUGGGGAGUCAGGGUCCCCCUUUCCUUCCCAACACCCGCCCCCGGGGCCGUUCCGCAGCAGCCCCCGCGGGCCAGGCCCCGCACCCCAGCCGGUGGCUUUGGGGACUCCGCGUGGGGCUGACGUGCCCAACUAGUCAUGCUCUGUAUCUGGGCCUCCACGGAUGUAUUUCCAAUCGUAAAAUGUGUCGUUCAAAAAACAUAUGUGUCAGUGGAGUCCUCGCUGAGCCUGAACCACAUGGGACAUAGUUGUUCUAAUAAACACGAAUGGGCCAGUGUUCACAUUAGAGAGGGAACAGUUUCUCGUGGAAAGGCGGUGCUUUUAACAGAGGCUAAUUAAUAAACAGCGGGUAAUUGUUCGUGGCACAUUGUGGCGGAGAGUAAUUUUCGUUUCAGAGGGUAGAAGGGCCAAACCCCCCUCCCCCCUCAGCCCUUCUGUGUAAUAACCACCUUGGCUUCACCUCUGCCUUGAAUUUUUACAGCUGGAGCUGUUUACCAUCUUCCAACUCUCACGAAGAAAGGAAAAACUAUCACUUAGAGCCAUCGAAAACUCAGCAUCGUACGUGGAUUUCUUCACGUAAAUAAAUCACACGAAGCGAGACUCGUGUUCUCCGAGUGACAUCAUCCGCUGAAGGCCGCCUCCCCCGUCAGAUCAGCGUUGGGUGCUUUCCUCCUCGUGCGGGCGCCCUUUCCGCAAGACCUGGGUCAGCCCGGCACGACCGGGUCCAGAGGGCGAAAACAGUUCCAACUUCACAGACUGCUCGGAAGCUUUGCUUUGGAACCAUAGGUUCUGAGGUUGAAAGGCCGUGAACGCGUCCAGAAGAAACGUGUGCAGCGCCCAGCGGGAGGUGAAGGCCCUUUGGGUCCUUCCGGAGCCGACGGUGACGCUGGCUGCGGCGUCAUCCCCUUGAAAUGAACGAGGAACCGGAAAAUCACCGGGAAGGCGUCCAGGAGAUGUGGCGCAUUUGGCCACGAGAAGGGACAAAGUCCUGACACGUGCCACAACGCGUGUGACCUCGGAAACAUUAUUCUCGGUGAAAGAAACUAGUCACGAGGCCACGUGUCGUCUGGGUCCAUUUACAAGAUGUCUAGGACAGGAAAGUCCGCAGAGACAGAAGGUGGAGGGGUGGCUGACAGGGGCUGGGGGAGGAGUGGGGGGGGGGUGACUGUUGACGGACGUGGGUCUCCUUCUGCUGGGUGAGGACCGUGUUCUGGAACCAGCUGGCUGUACUCAAUGCUAUCACACCGUUCCCUGUAAGACGGUAAAUGUUACGCUGUGUGGACUGGAUCUCAAUACAUCCGUUAUU
rnacentral:lncRNA from 1 species